GUGCUCACUUCAGCAGCACAUAUACUAAGAUUGGAACAAUAUAGAGAAGAUUAGCAUAGUCCCUGUGUGGGAUGACAUGCAAAUUCGUGAAGUGUUCCAUAUAUAU